GUGAUCCUCAUAUCUCAGCCUCCUGAGUAGCUAGGAUUACAGGUGUGACCCACCAGUGCCUAGUAAGAUAAUCAAUCUCAAUGCCUAUGAAUUUCUUCCCUCACCUAAGUGUAUGGUACCCUAAAAACAAGGCUACCUAUGUGUUUGGGGACAAGCAGUAGGGAAAAUACUUCAAGUGAGUGGACCUGGAACUAGAUUUGGACUGGGCUUUGAAUUUAGAAAAGUCUUAAACCACACUUCUAAGUCAAUUGGUAAUUAUGGGUAAAUCAAAAUAUCCAAACAUACAUACUCUCAUACAAAGUCAUUAAAACUCACUAGUAAAAACAUUUAAAGUGAAUGAAAGGAGGGAAAAA